CAGAGUAGGUCAGUUUGUCGACUUUGAUUCGGAAAGUGUUUUUCGUGGUAGGAUUACCGAAAGCCUCGCUUCCUCUCUGCCCUCUGCAGGAACACGGCGGUGACCCGCGCGCGCGUCUCCACAAAGCACAGCUUGAAAUUGUCAAGUGAAGUGCGAAAAGGGGGUUGUUUUCCCCUCGGGGCAGUCACAGGAAUAUAUUUCAUUGUGCGUAUUGUUGAGUGUGUCGGUGUCGGUCUGUCGUGGAGGAUCCAGGGCUGGGUGCCUGCUGCAGUCAGUGUCAGUGAGUGAUGACGGGAUGUGCGACGAGACGACGAGGAUAAAGCGUUCGAAGAAAGUUGAGGUGCUGUUUUGAUGCUAAAAUAGAACGAGAAAGGGUAAACGUGGCGAAAGCUCAGCAUAAUUCAAAGGAAGGAUUCAAACACGGUUUCCUGCUGUUUCUUUUCGGUUAGCGAUAAGGUUGAAGGAUAUCAAAGAAAUAUAAACAAAAAGGGCAGACAAGUUAGGAAUAACUUUUUCCUCCCGUUGGUUGUUGCCUUUUACGAAAAACGGUGAAAAGUGACGCAAAUUGAAAGAAGACCGAAGCAAGAGAUAAAAGUGCACGAAGUUUACCCUCGCGGAUUCGCAGAAGAAAAACAGCCAUAAGUUCCACGCUCAGAUUGCGUUGAUAAUUAAAAAAUUUCGAUCCCUCGUCCAUCAAAGUGUGCGCGCGGGAAAAAAAAAAGAGAAAACAUAAAGCAAUCGCAGCAGGCUGAGGAGUUUUCUUUGAGGAGCAGGAGGAGGAGGAGGAGGAAGGCCACUGCCGACGGUUGGAGGGCGGAAGUGAAAAUUGCUUUUCGGUGUGAUUUUUCCGAUUUUGCGGGGUCUGUGGGGGCGGUGAUUAAGUGAGGGAAAUCGCAGAAAAAAAGGCAAUAAAAAGAAGCAAAGUACCUUGCUCGGGGAGGAAAGAGGAGUGGCGAGUGAGGUUUGUGUGUUCGGCAGUGCACGAUUUUCGUUUGCAUCAUUCGUGUGGUUCUUCCCGGAAAGCGUUGGAGCAACAGGGGAGGCAAGGGAGCGAAUUACUAUUAUUGCUUCGGAAGCUAAUGCAAAAUCAAACCGGAGUAAGCGAAGCAGUAGCAUUUAGGCAUUGAAGUGCAGUAAGUGAGCAAGUGAUUCUAAACACGAACGCGAAAUCGUGUGCAAGCAGAAAAUAAAAAAUAAAAACAAGAAGAAAUCUAACUCUCCUAAUUGGAUUAUAAAUUAGCCGGAAGGAGGAACAGCACCGCGCAGCACUAAGCUGAGCCGAGCCGAGACGAAACGAGCAAGUUGAGCGUGAAAAUAAGCGGAAAAUCCAAAGAGGACAGCCACUGAAACAAAAGGCCCUACAACAAAGCAACGGCAGGCCCAAACAACACCAACAACAACUUGCUGAAAAGCACUUUGCCUUUGCCCAGUUCGGUGUGCAUUGUGCAGCCCGUUUCCCAUUCAUGUCGGCUUUAGGCGAAACCCCUCAGUAAGCUUACACAAAAACCAACAACCGAUCCACCCCUCCCUUCCUUUACAAACAACCCACCGCAGCACCGUUCCAUCCCUAAAUGCUGAGCGUCGACACCCCGGCAGCAGCAGCAGCAGCGGAUGCAAACAGACUUCAAUCGUCGUUUCCCUCAUCAACGUCAGCGGCAGUCUCGACGGCCAUCUCGGAGAACCGUUUCCCGCUGGAGGUCCCGGGGACGAGGACGGCGACGAGCAAAAGCCGCGAGAGCAGCACUAGCCCAGUAAACCACCACCGACCGGAGGACGAAGAGGACGACACUAGUGGAAGUAACAGAGAGAUGACCACGGUAGCGGCCGUGACCGCAGCUGCCAAUAAAGCAGUUGCAGCCCUCAUGGAGUACCGGCAGAGACAGCAACAGCAGCAGCAGCAGCAGCAACAGCAACAGAAUAAUCACAUGGUCCAGGGGAUGGGACCGUUUCCGGGAGCCGCCGGAUUCCCACCGUCGGCAGCACAGGCAGGCCUCGGAGCCGACGGGCUCUCGAUGCAGGUCGUCAAAGGCGCUGGAGCAACCGGUGGUGGAGGUGUGGCCGGUGGAGGCGGUGGCCUGGCCAUGACCGUUGCCGAACACCAGCUCAGUAGCCUCAAACAGCACCAGGAACAACUCAACCAGCAGCACCAGCAGCACCAGCAACAGCAACAGCAGCAGCACCAGCAACAGCAGCAGCAACAACACCACCAGCAGCAGCAGCAACAACAUCAUCAGCAGCAACAGCAGCAGGCGGUGGCCGCGGCAGCUGCCGCUCAGCUUGCCAACUCACAGACACUCAGAAAUACUGUCAGCCAGUACAGCUCCCCAUCAGUAUUAGGCGUUCCGCCGGGUGCCGGUGCUCCGGCACCGACGUCGCUGGCCGCCGUCUCGCUGCCGUCGCUCUCGGCGAUCGUCAGCAGUGCGGUAACCGCCAGCAGUACCACAGCAGUCAGCAGUGCCAUCACCAGCAGCGGCGUCGGCGGUGCCGCUGGAGGCCCAGUGUCCGGAAUCUCCAACGGAAUUGAACAACAGACUGUUAGUAUUAAGACCGAAUUAUUGCAGCAAACGGAACCAGAAACGCAAGUCUCAAGUGCCAACAACAACCAAAACAACAGCAACAGUAGCUGUAGCUCACCGACAGACGCCGUCUCCGCCGCCGCCGCAGCCGCUGCGAUAAUAGCGGCCAACAGUUCGAUGGCGAGCAGCGCCACCAGCUGCAGUAGUAGUCCUGCCGGGAGCUGUAUCAUGACCACCGGAUGCAGUACCAUCACGACGACUGCCGGCACCGGAACGGUGCCGCUGAGUACGGCCCAGCAGAUGUCGGUGGUGGCCGCCGCCACCCAAGCCGCCCAAAGUCAACAACAGCAACAGCAGCAGAAUGUGGCCGCCGCCGUGGCAGCCGCUACCGCGCUGGCCGAAUCCAAAGCACAACCAAAGCGACUACACGUGUCCAAUAUUCCGUUCCGAUUUCGGGACCCGGAUCUGCGGUCCAUGUUUGGGCAAUUCGGUACCAUCCUGGACGUGGAGAUCAUCUUCAACGAGCGAGGCAGCAAGGGAUUCGGUUUUGUAACAUUCGCUAAUAGUAGCGAUGCGGAGCGAGCACGCGAACGUCUUCACGGCACUGUGGUUGAGGGACGCAAGAUUGAGGUCAAUAAUGCAACCGCACGAGUUCAAAGUAAAAAAGUUCCUGCUGUUUCGAGCGUCUUCCUGACGAAGCCAGGCACCGUCACGGCUCCUCCUCUGGCAGCGGUUUGCGUGCCCUGGCCAGCCGAAGGUUACCGCCUGUCGAUGGGCGCCUGGCCGUGGUUAGGAGCAACGGCUGCCACCAUGGGAGCAACGGGAGCCCAACAAGCGGCCCUCACCGCCGCACCAAAUUCAGCCGCUGCCGCCGCAGCCGCAGCAGCAGCUGCCGCAACAUCGAACCAUCAGGCGGCGGCCGCCGCAGCAGCAGCCGCAGCUAAUCAACCAAUGAACGCGGCCGCCGCAGCCGCAGCAGCCGCCUCACCACUGUUGAUGGCCCAGGCGGCCCAGAGGGCUGCGGUCGCCGCCCAGCGGCGAAGUGUGUAUUUUGAUCCAUACCUGGCAGCAGCAGCGGCUUCGGCGGACCAGCAGUAUCGUCUACAGGCAGCCAAACCGGUGACGGAGGUACAAGCUCAGCAGACUCUUUUGAACGCGGCAGCACCUCUGCUCAAGACGCCCCUCUCGCAAGCCCAGCAGGCCUACAAUGCAGCGACGUACACGGCCGUGGCAGCUAGGGCUGCCUACGGCGCAGCAGCUGCAGCUCAACCAACCGUAGCAGGCUACGCUACCGUUGCUGGAUACGGACGUGAAUAUGCUGACCCAUAUCUAGGUCACGGAAUCGGACCAGUUCCCGGAUACGGGGCAACCAUGUACCGAGGAACGUACAACCGUUUUGCGCCAUAUUAGAUUUAAGCUGCAAAGUUUGUUCCGUUCAUCGCCAUCAUUUGUAUACCUAUAUUUUUUUUUUGUUUGUUUUGCUCUUUGGUUUGUUAACAAAACUGCACACAAACCCCUACGGAAGGAAGGAAAUUUAACCACGCACUAAUCAAGGAUCGAUACCAAAGUUGUAGCAGAAGAAGAUGAAGAAGACUAACAGCAGCGUCCGAGGCCUACAACGCCACAGUUUAAAUCAACAACAGCAACAACAACAACAACCAUGUAUGCCGCGCUCUCUAUUCCCUUUAUAUCUGCUAUUAGGUAUAAACAACGGCAUCCGCACUAACUAGGCAGAGCGAGAGACAUAGAUGUCAAGGAUGACUAUGAACUACACUGAAGAAAAAAAAAACAUGAUGAUAUUCAAUUGUGACAAACCACGUGACGGGAAAAGAUGUGGAAAGAAGGGUUAAUCUCUCUAAAAGUAGGAUUUAAUUUGUUUGAGUUUUCGCUCGCUAAGUAGUAGAUAAGAAUUGAUACAGUUGCAACAGUCAGUAUACUCAGUGGAGGAUGUUUUCCCAAUUCAGUUACGACAAGCUCCUUCCAAAUAGUGUUGUUUAUCAAGUUCAGUAGGUAGAUUGAUGAUGAUAGUUCCUCCAAAACAACAAACAUUUUGUGUUUUCCCUUUGGUCAAAGUCAGCCUCAAAUCUUCCAAACAUAUAGUUUACAGAUAGUUUUUUUUUUUCAGUUAUCAUGCAAAGAAUUUAUAUGAAUCAUAUUGCUUGAACGAGGAAGCAAGAUGAUCUACUGGAUGUGUUGAAAAAGUUAAUAAAAUUGUAGAAUUCAUUAUUUCGCCCUCGGAAAUUUCUUCGGCAGAAAUAACCAGAGGAUAACGCUCAAAAAUUGGAAAUAAAUUGUAUUUUCUGAAUGUAAUCGUGUGGAAUCAAGUGGCACAGAGUUCUAAUUGAUCUGGUUCUUCCCGCGAUUCAAGCUUUGACAGCACGAUCUAGUACUGCAUCCGCAACAAUUGAGAUCGUUACGAUUUCUCUUCCAUUCAGAGAAUCACCGACAACCACCACUCGGCAGAAUGAUUUUAUAUUAAAAUUAUUCUACUACUGCAAACAAAAAUCGAACAAGAACAAGCGCGCAGAACGCCACACUGUGGAAAACAACAAAAACAUAAGGAAAAGGUAGAAACGUAACAAGAAAUCAGCCAAAGUUAUCAACUAACAAGUAUAGAAAACAAGCAAAAUGCGACAACAAACCAGUAAUAUGGACGCAAGUCAAACGCAAGCUAAAGCAAACAAAACGAGUACAUAGUCAGUAGAGAUGAAAACCGGGAAAACAAUACAAAAAAAAAACAAGAAACUACGUUAAAAGCUAGCAUUAGAAACGAGUCUCAGUGAACUCAGUAGGUAGUUGAUGUGCAAUGCAUCACACUGACACACACACACACAAACAUACAUACACUGCACCGAUUGGUUUAUUUUUUUCGUUUUUUGGCAGCUUACGAAUUUUGGUGUUACUCUUCCAAAAUUUAGUGUAAAUAAUGAAUCAAAAAAAAAAUAACCAGUCCAUGAGAAUACAGCUGAUGAAUCCUCCCAACAAGUCAGUCAGCGCACGCGAUGCGUGAGGAACCAAUACUCAAAGCUCCUUCUAGUGCCGCGUGGCACAGCGGUGACACAAAACACACAAACGUAUCGUUGAGAUUAAGAAUUCUAUAUAAUUUCUCACGACUUCUCAGUUAAACCCGAAUUAUAGAACAAAAGCUACUCAAUAUAGUUUAUUUUAUCGUACACAUAUCGUGUUGAUUUACGACAAAAUCUCGAACGUGGUAGCUCGAUCGGUUUGGAUGCCAUUUUGUUUGUGGAGCUCGGAUGUAAGUCACACAUUAUACAAGUAUAUUUUUUAUGUUAAUCGUUUACGUUUAGAGGUUAAGUCAAUAUCGAAUACUAGAGAACUACGGGGGAGAUUGCGCACACUCAUAUAAACACAAACACAAACACACACUGUUGAUCAUCACACAAAUACAAUGAUGCGGACAAAACAAAUUCAAUCAGGGCAUUCUAUGUUUGUAAGAUUUAGUUCUUUUUUUUUUUUUUUGUUUCUUUUAAAUACUAUUGAAUAUUUUAAUUUCGUUUUACUGAGAAAAGGUUUACGUUUAAGUGAGUAUAGUGGGUAGAUGAUCGAAUGCUUCGAAAUUGAGUUGUUUGAAGGUUUGUUUUGUUUUUCGAAAUUUUGCGUAUCGUUACAUCAAGCUCUAUUUAGGUACUUGGUGCGAUUUAAGGGUAGUAUUUUGAGGUUAGAAUUGGCGGACAGAAAAUUUGUUGACCGGCUUUUUGUGAUGAGGCGUUUUUCGCGGAAAUUGGUUUUGGUUUCCUGCAGGCUCCUCCUGUAGAUAAUCUGUAGCUUAUAUUUAGUGAAGCCUGUUAGAAAAUAGUUUUGCUGACCAUUCACAUUUCAGUUUAUAUGAAUUAAUAACCCCACGACGUUUCUAAAAGGGAUUGUCAAUGAUCUAUGAAAACCUACCUACAAUAAUCAGCUGUACCUACCGGAGCUAGCAGCUCGUGGAAUCGCUUGUUCCUUGAACUUCGAUGCAUACUUCAAGCCGUUAUUUGAUUUGACGUCUGGCGGAUUUCCUUUGGAGUUAUCUUCAAAAUCAAAUGUUUACUGAAGUCAUGAAUGGACACUGAACAAACUGUCGCUUGAAAUCGAAUCUUCCAAAUAAUGUCUUUUUUCGGUUGGAGAUUUAUUUUGGAAGCCUUUAGAAACGUGAUUUUACAAUGUUGGGAUGUUGUACAUUUGAAGGAGUUCCGUUCUUGGUCUGUUGAGACACUUCAAGGCGUCCGGUCGGAAGGAUUUCUGGAGUCAGGUUAAGUGCAUUUCUGCAAGAAUGGGGGAACUACUCUCGGCUCUACUCAUUGAGACACUUCAGGAGCUUGGUCUAGAGAACUUUGUUGCCUGGUUCAGAGAACUUCAAAUACAGGGUGGUCUGAAGGAUGUCUGGAACAAGGUUCAGUGAACUUCUGUGAUCAGGAUAUUUGGAGGUUCGGAGAACUUCGAGAACAAAUCUAAAAGAUUUUGACCGCCAGCUUAGGAAGUCUUUAUAGGGACUUUGAGGUUGAGCUCUAUAGAUAUAGUGCUAUGGGUGUUAGUCUUGACCCGUUGAGAGACUUCAGGGGGUCGGUCCAGAGAACUUAAUUGACUGGUUCAGAGAACUUCAAGGAUAGGUUGGUCUGACGGAUGUCUGGAAACAGGUUCAGUGAAUUUAUGUGACAAGGAAAUUUCGGAGGUUCGGAGAACUUCGAGAACAAAUCCGGAAGAUUUUGGCCGCCAGGUUCGAAAGCUUUCGUGGGGACUUUGAGGUUGAUCUAUGCAUUUAGUGCUAUGGGUGAUGGCCUUGACCCGUCGGGAAACUUUAGGCAGUCGCUCCAGAGAAAAUUGUUGACAGGCUUAGAGGACUUCAAAGGCAGAUGAUGGUCUGAUGAAUUUUUGGAGACAGGUUGCUUGCAGGUUGCCUGCAUUUCUGGAUACGAUUUUAGUGCACUUGUGUGACAAGAAGAUUCAGAGGACUUCGAGAACAUAUUUAGGAUAUUUUGUAUACCAGGUUUGGACGUCUUCAGGGGACUUUAAAGUUGAUCCACGGCCGUUGAGACACUUUCUAGAGGUCUCUUCGGAAAAAAAUUGUUGACAGGCUUAGUUGACAGUUCGAAAACAAAUUCGGAAGAUUUUGAACACAGGUUAGAAAGUCCUCGGGGAACUCUGAAAUAGAUCUACGGGACUUCGACAACUAGUCUUGGCCCGUUGAGACACUUCAGGGAGUCGGUUCAGAGGACUUCAAAGGCAGAAGUUGGUUUGAAUGACUUCUGGAGACUGAUUUAGUGCACUUUUGUGGCUAGGGAAUUUGAAAAUAAAUCCAGAAGAUUUUGAAUGCCAUGUUGGAAGUCUUCAGGAGGCUUUAUCAACCUAUUUACGGGACUUCGGGAGCUAAGUAGUCUCGGCCCGUUGAGCCACUACAGGGGCCCGGUCCGGAGAACUUUAUUGACGGAAUUAGAAAACUCCAAAGGCAGAGAGUAAUCUGAAUGAUUCCUGCCAACAGAUUUUUUGCACUUCUGUGGCAAGUGAGCUGACAAGGAAAUUUGUACGUCGUAAUGCUUUUAAAGAGCUUUUCUUUGAUAUUCACUGUUUGUGAAGCCGUCUAUAUUUGGAAACUCUCCCUAGCCUUUGGAAACUCUCCAAAAUGGACAAAUUGGUCCUAUUGAUUGAACGGCAAGUUCUUCUAUGAAGUCUCCUUGAAGAAAUGGAACUUGAAGAACUUCUCUGUCCGAAUCCGAGUCUGGUCUUUGCGGAUGGAUCGUAGGGAUUUCCGAGGGGGACGACACAUCUAAAUCUCAAUUCUAGGUGCUCAACAAAUCUCAUACUAGCUAAUCAAUCUUCGAAACAUCUUCUCUAAUUUCUCGCAUCUACUUGCAUCGUGCAUCAUCUUUUUGCAAGAAAUCUUCAGAAUCGUCAUAAAUCUUUUUACUAUCUACUCAGCGUGCGCGCAGCUAACCACAGCAAAAACAUUUUUUCCUUCGUAGAUAGAGUCGCCCCCUUCGGGGAUUUCAAGGGCUAAGUUCGGAUGAGUUUCAGUGUUCGGAAAUUCGGAAAUCCGGAUUUAGAUGAACUUCGGAACUGGGUGUGGUCUAUGACAUUUUUACGGGUCUACUGGUUUCGGACUGCUGGUUCUGGCCCCUUAUUAUGGGUGUCACUUCUCGGUAAAAGCAAACUGAACCCGCAUAAACAAUAACCAUAAGAAGCGCCUAGCCACCAAUUCAAGAUAUGAUCCAAACUAUAUGAGGUAUGGUCACACCAUCUAUGAUAUCGUUUGUGUAUGGUACCCGUUUAUAAGGGAAGUGACCAGUUAUCACUCACGCAGAAAUGAUUGCCGUGUAAAUCAAAUGGGAUGAUGACAAGGUGUCACUUCAUCGUGAAGUGACAUCGGUAUUAAGGGUCUCUGACAGGAUUUUAAAGGUCUUGUGGUGUUAGAAUAAAAUGAAAAUAAUGCCCAUGAUUGUCACGCUUUUUCAACGACACACGGCUAAUUCAAUGCGUCGGUACCAUCUCCCUCUUUUGGCUAGCAGCAGCUGUACUCUUCCAGCUACUUCUGAAGCCGCACGAAUCGCAAAGGACGUUGAUUUGCUGAUAAUGCUUGAUAAUGCUGCUGUAAGAGAGUUGAGCACGAUGUCCGAGUUUGUGAUUGUUAAUGGUGUCCCCUGCUGGGUCGUUCGGAUACUGAAUAUUGAUCAGAAAUGGAACGAUGACGUGUUUGCUGCUGAAGACCAACUUACUGAACCACUGGAAUGAUGAAACUGUAUUCCACUACUGCAGCCGGUUCAAAACCGAUACGGGACUUCAGCUGGUAAAUGUGUGAUCGGAGCACUUUUCGCCAACCAAGCUGUUGAUUCAGAAGAACAUUGUAUUUGACGUUGCCGAUUAUUUCGAUGGCCUUCGUUGCUCGAUUAUAGCUUGGCGUAAACUGGUGAUCCAGCCUCAAUGUUCCGUUUGUGUUGCGCUUACUGACUGCUGCCAGGGUGGUCAUGGGACGUAGAAUAUCCAAAGUAGUCCUUAAUAUCUAGCAUGGCGGAUGGUGUUGAAGAGAUCCUCGUAUACUUGGUCGAACGAAAAAAUAAGUUUUCUGACUCGUUAUAGAGAUUGCGGAUGAGAGAGAUUCUAUUAUGUCUUCUCUGGAGUUCUUCGCUAAGUUGCUGUUGGUUUUUCUUCAGUGACUUGUUCCAAAAGGCUGUUCUGGAUACUCCAUCUUGACCUCUGGCCGUGUUUCCGUUGCUCCGACUCAUCGGCGCUCGCUUCCAGUUAGUCUAAAUUACCCCCGUAACGUGGGUAGAUCACCUUUUCGUGGUACGUUACGGGAUGUAAGAUCUACCACCGAUUCCUAGUCCUGACUACUUCAAACUAGGGGAACAGGAUUUUUCAGUAAUCCAAGAAACACAACUUAGUCCUUGUUACUUUUAAUGCCUUGUUGAUAGUGACAAGACUCGGUUUUGUCUACCGAGGAUGAUCUUGAAACAAGGAAAAAAAUGAGUUAGUUGUCUUCAUCUAUGGGAAUUUAAGUAUUCUCGGCAACCUAAGCAGCGACCUUCUUUCUAUAGCCUUUUUCUCUAAGGAACGCCCACAUAUGCAGUAUUGGUUUGUUUACAAUCUUUUGCUGCCAGCUGCUCUAACAAUUUCAGUCGAAAGAAUUGUCAAAAACUGUUUUGAAACGCUUUUACAAAACUCCAAUCUUCUCUAGUGAGAGCGAGUAUUGU